AUGAUGGGACACCUGGCACCGCCUUGAGGCAGGGGAAGGGGCCUGGACCUGCCUCUACUAAAUGUGUGCCUAUAUGACAAUACCUUCAAGCUUCAAAGCAGCAACUGCAUGUCAUGGAGCCAAAAGCAACCCCAAGUGCCAAGAAUACAGCUAAUAUACAUGGGAAAUGUUCCAAGAGCCCCAUAUGGCAAUUGCUGUGAACAACCCCUUCAGCAUCCCAUCACUGCUGCUCCUGUGGUCAUGCCUUCCUCACCGUAAUAGACAGAGGCCUCUUGAAACUCUGCAGCACACCCCUCCGCUAUGAUGCUUUUUUCUUCCACAUGCCCCCAAACAACGACGCUGAGUGACAACAGCCUGGCACCUACGAAAUCAAUGUUUAUUAGGAGAUGACCACUGAGAUUGUAGUGUGUCUUCCACCAACAGAAUACAUAUUAGAAGAUGACCACUGAGAUACAGUAUGUCUUCCACCAAUAGACCGUUCAUUAGAAAAUGACCAAUAUCUGACAAAAACAGAAUUCUUAAGGACAGUUAAACUAAUUUCUUCAUCAGUUUCUGAAAUAUGUCAAUCAAUUAAGGAAUGAUUUGAGGCUUGUGUAAAGAAAUGGAAACCAAGAACCAGCUUAAAAUGUGGUUCUUUUGAAGCCACUGACCAGGCUCUAAGCCCUAUAUAAUUCUCCAAGAUCCAAGAAUUCAUUUGAUAAAAGGAAUGGAAAAAUCAUCAGUGUCCAGAGAAACUUGCAAUGGUUUAAUAGAAUAAUGCCCUUCAUUCCUCAGCAGGAUAAAAGGGAAUGAAGAAGCCACCGUUGGAAGCCAGAUGGACAGGGCAGGGAACACUUUUCUAACAGAAAAUGAGACAUUUUGAAUGGAGGAAGAAUCCUUGGUCCCAGCUGCUCUUACUGGCCCCCUGUGACAAAGAACUAGUUAACACAAAGCCAAAUGCUCAGAAUUAAUUGUGAUUGACAUGUAAAUGGACCUUAACUGGUUUUUCUGUAUGCUUGCUGGUUUGUGAUUGUGGCACUUACCUGCUGCAUUCAUCACAAGACUAUAUUGACAGUGUUUAAUCAAUACUUUAGAGGAAACCCUUUUUCUUAGAUAUAGCAAGUCAUUAAUAUUUAAUGAUGAAAUUUUGGUUAGUUAACUUAAGAAACUAUACAUAGUUUGAGUUAAAAUAUGAUUCAGUUAUUUCCAUCUACUACAUUUACUUCAUAUUUCCACAGACAGUAAAUUUACAGAAGACGUUUCCUUGCAUUAUUCUUGUUCUCUGUUUGGCUUCUAAAUACAUCACCAAUGGCACUGGAGAAGGUUUGGUGUCUCUCAGAAAAGCCAGAACCUGUCAUUAAUUCCAUGGGUAAUAAGAAUUAUAAAAUGUUCAGACAAAUGUUAUUGCUGAACAAAAUUAUAAGAAAUUUAGAUAACAUUUUGUAAAAUUGUGAGUGUGUGUUGCCGAGAAUGGAAUCCAGGACUUUGUACUUACUGAAUAUGUAUUCCACCACUGAACUAAACCACCACCCUGA